CAGUUCCCUUCAGAUAGCAACAAUUUGAGUUCAGAGUGCAAGGACUUGUGUCAGAAAUUGUUACGGCGCAAUCCAUUGGAACGCCUAACAUUUGAAGAGUUUUUUAAUCACCCAUUUCUAUCUCAGCAGUCACCAUAUUCGAGGAGUAGGAGGGAAUCACGAAUGGCAG